UGGAAAAAGGGAAGGGUUCUGAAUACUUUCCGAAUGCACUGUAUAUUUUUCAUUACAAAAUGACAGCUAAGCAUUGAAUCUGUUUGUUGUUGAUAGCUACUGUCCUCAUGGUACCCAUCUAUUUCAGAUGGUAUUUGUCUGAAAACACAGUAGGCCUGUGAAUACUUGAGUCAUAUCAGGCAUUGGAACCGAGAGUAAUGACCCCUUGCCAAGCCCUCCAGAGGAGCAGCAGGCCGCAACUAGCACUGAAGCAAAGCAGCAGUCAGACAAGGAUGGAGAAGAUUUGCAUCAGAAAGAAGAGGAGAAUGGAAUUUUGUCCUGUCUACAGUCAGCUCGAGGGUGAUACAUGUGAAAGCACAGGGCAGUGUGACGGAGCCGCUGCUGCGAAAGCAUUGCGAGGCACUGCAUGCUGUGGCAUGUCACCCCCAGCAACCAGUUGUUGCCUUGGGCAGCCACAGUGGCACCCUGAAGGCAUGGGACUAUGAGCGCAAGGUGUCCAUCUGCAGCAGGGUCUUUGAGAAGGAGAGGCAGAUUCAGUGCAUCGCCUAUGACCCCCCCCAAGGUGACCCAGCAGGCCAGAGGCUUUUGUCAGUUUAAUUUCCUAUAAGUAAAACUAUAUGCAUAUGUAGAAAGAUCUCACAUUGAUGUUCUCACAUUUGAUUUGUGGUAUACAGAGAACUCCCCUUAAAAACAUCAUUCUCUGUUUGUUUGAGUUGGCUCAGCUUUGACCAGGCUAUCCUGUGCGUCAGUGAACAGGAUUAUACUUGGCAGUUGGAUUUGCAAGUGGAGCUGUCCAUGUACUGGAUGCUUGCACAUUGAAGAGUGAGGCAGAGGAGCGACUCAACUACAGCCACUCACAUUACCUUCUCUCCAGACUCCCUCUACCUGGCCACAGCAGUGAGCAGACACUGUGGUUCUGGCAUUGGGAUUGGAAAGUAACCGGUUUGAGCCCUCUACCUUGAAGCAUUAUAAUCAAACUGAAGCUAACAAAUUGCACGCUUCCCUCGUGUUUUGUUGCUACUGUCAGGAUGCUGGAAAAGCGGUGAUGGUGUUUGGCAUGUACACUGGUAGGAGCGUGCAGUGCUGGAAGUACCUGGUGAGGCAUCACUCCCACUAUAAGCCCAUCAGGGACUUCCUAUUUGGGGUGUACCUGGACAGCACCCAACCCAGACUAUUCUCCCUGGGCAUGGACCAGACCCUCACACUUAGUAGGGCUCUGGUUUACUUGCAUGCAGUGGUUCUUUACUUGCUGAACCACUAGGCAUGCUGAAUCACGUUGGAUAACUUUGCCUUGGUGUGUGGUGAUUCAUUAGGUGGAGAAUGACCUGGAGAAUAGCAAUGAGAAUGAGCUGAUGAUCCUGAGCGCAUUGAGCAGAGCGUCGGGCCCACCUGUAUGGCUUGGUGCACACCCCUCACCACAGAGGAUUUCCUGCUCACUGCCUCUGGCCUCUACAAAGUGAAGCUUUUCAACAGCAUCACCAAGAUGUGCAGGUGGAUCUCGAGAUUCUGCCCAUUGAUGGGAACCCCCAGGUUCUCUGCUCUGAUUUGCCACCCAACAGGGGUAUCUGCUAUGGCCUGCUCCAAUGACAUUCUAUAUGUCUUCACUGCUGGGGGUCUGACUGAAGUCCUCAUAUGGGAGAUUAGUUUAAAGAAAUGGAGGACUUUUUCUAUUACUGUCAGCUGUGUAAACAAGGCAUUGACUCCAUGGAGAUCCGACAGGUGUCCACCUGAAUCCCACUAGCAAAGGUCCCCUUUAUCAUGGGGGCUCUGGGCUUCCUCCCCAUUGAGCAAGAGGUACAAAGUCCUUAAUGAGGACAAAUCCGAUGACUAGGCUAAUGUGGGAAACGAUUGAUUAAUUUAUUACUUUGAUAAUUUUCUGUUUUUGUUACUCAUUUCGUUAUACUUUGUUAAGUUAUAAUGAGUUAGGUUCAGUAUAGAAAUAAUGUUUGUUGAUCAUGACUCUCUCCAGCUGGAGGACAUGCAGAACGAAGUAAAGUUCAGCAGGUAUGCUGAGACUGAAAUAUGUGACCGACAUAGACCUGAAGGAGUUUAUUAAGGUGUACGUCAACCAACAGCCAGCAUUUGGCAUCUCCAGGAAGUAGUUGCUUCACACUUUCCAGGUCCUGGGUGAUGAGAGAGCAUGUAGUGAACAGGGACGAGCUGCUGGAACUCUUCCAGGACAGAGAUGUGCUAGGCUAGCUGCCUGUAAAUCUGUAUUUUCUUAGUCUCCACAAGCCUGUUUGCUGUGCCUGUAUAUUUUUUAUGCAGGGUAGUGUCAGUAUCUACAAUUUGUUAGCCUUAUGUCUUUAUGUUCCCUUGUUCUGAGGCAGUGCUGGUAUUUCAUUCUAAUAAUACGUCAACUAUCUUUUUGCCUCAGCGGAACAUAUCACUGAGGACAAGCUGGCAGAAUUUUUCACCUCACUGGUAGGACUGAAUCCAAAGAGGGGGAGAUCUGAGCUGGAAGCCAUUGAAUGUGAUGGUAUGUAUCACCAUGUUGAGCUCAGAGUAGUGUCUAAAAAUGUGAAAAUGAGACGGAGACUACACAGCUUUGGUAGUCCACCAUUAAAAGUCUGUGUGUGUGGGACAGAUUCAGAAGACAUGCUGGAUUGUGAGAUCCUGGAGGAGAUUUCCAUGGAAACAUUUUCAAAUGAUUUCCUGGGGAUUGUUCCCUCCUCCCAAGAGGGAAUGUUGUCCCCCUCCGGGUCAGAAGUUGUAUAGAAAUUACAUGUUUUUUUAUUUUGGAAAAGUUUAUAUUUAUCAAUUUCCUUUAAAAACAGCUCAUUUUCAUUUACAUCGUUUAUACACAUAAAAACGGCAUAAAAACAGCAUUUGAGUAUUACAUUUAAAUGUGUUAAAUCUUCUAUCUACAGAGCUCGUGCUGCUAGGUGACCUAAACUGGGACAUGCUUAAC